CGCGCAUGCGCACGUCUACUUUUCAGGAGCAAAACGGUUGCAUAUAAAACUGCGCUCUGUUUAGUGGUAGUGCACACUACGUAGGGUGUAGAAAACAUGAUCUAAUAAUGCCCAAAGUGCACUUAUAAAGGAAGCAGUGGGUUUUAUCGGGAUACAGCCUGUAUCGUAGGCGAGAAUUAACAGCACUUGAGUUGAGAAGGGGACCAUAACGCCUGAUUUCUUUUUGGUGUAACGUUGUACUACCUUGUGUGAACGGGUUAGAAGGUUUAAAUUGAUUAUUUCUGUGUAUUGUUGUUGUGAAGAUUUGUGUGAAGCUGAGAGUAGAGUAGCGUGCGGAUAAUAUAGUGUUUUUUUUUUUAAAAAAGCAGUGUGUGUGUGUGUGUGUGAAGUUGUCCAAUCAGAGUAAUUAUUAGAGUAAUUAGUAACACUAAUAGGUUAAUUAUAAGAAUGCACAUUAGUGUUGGUUUAGUUGUAGUGUAAAUAAGGAGCAGUUCAUGAUCAGACUAGGGAAUAUGACAGUUUAUGUAAGAUGAUAGAUACAGGGGUUUGUUUUCGGUUUAAACUUUUCACUCUGGGUAAAAAAAAAAACCCCAAAAACAUCAGUUUUCCGCAAAAUUAGCACGAAGAAUACAAGUAUGAAUGAAUCUAAUGCACUUUGAGAGGGAGAAUAGUGAUGCGAUCAUGUAAUGCAGUAGAGAGUGAGUGAGUAUAGUGUAUGUGUGUGUUUAUUUCUAGCAGAGCUGGUGCGUAAAGAGGCAUGGCGGACUCGGUGAAGACGUUCCAGGCGCAUCUGACCGCCGUGAUGGACAGCCUGGUGCGCGCGUCCGUGUGCGAGAUCACCAAGCUGUUCGAGGACACGGUGAACGACUACCUGGUGGAGAUCUCGCUCAACCGGAAGGAGAACGAGGCUUUGAAACUGCGCCUGAGACUCACCGAGAACAAGCUUAAGAACGAGCGGAAGUACGGGCUGGCCUGGGCGGCCAGUCGGCGCGCAGCCGGCCUGCUCGGUCCUGAUGAGACCGGCGCAGCAAAAAAGAGAAAGCUGGAGCCUAGUAAGCACAGGCACAAGUUCAUUACUACUAGUGAGUGCUGGUGGACGUCUAACUUUGGCAUUUAGUGCAACCAGAAUGCACUGAGGGAGAGAGGAAGGAAGAGGACGUGUACAGGUGCGAGUCAGUGAGGCUGCUGCAGGAGGCGCUUCAGAUGAGCCAGACUGAAAGCAACACAGCACACGGUGAGCACCAGAAGGCCACACGUGGGUAAGAGAAGGCGUAUAGCUGUGUGAUUGGUGGGGGUAAGAGAAGGCGUAUAGCUGUGUGAUUAGUGGGGGUAAGGGAAGGCGUAUAGCUGUGUGAUUAGUGGGGAUAAGGGAAGGC
ensembl:lncRNA